CUGUGUAUCCUAGGGGUGUGGGACGCAAGCCGCACCGGGUAUUCCUAACCUGAGUUGCUGCGCCUCAUUCCGAGCUUACAGUUGAACGAGCCAACCCGCCAUCCGUUUAUCCCCCUGUAGCACCCGAAGGCUGACGGCUUUUUUGACCAUUAAAAGUUAAAUUUUCAAAAUGCAUGCUGUUACUCACAGCUCGUCAGACAUGUUAAAUAUACAGGUGUUGCAUCUAAGAUAUUUUGAUUUUCUGAAAUCGCCCACUUUCUGCCGUCGUUUUGGUUCAAAACAAGCAAUUGAGAAAAUAAAAGCAGGCAAAGCAGCCUGUCAGCUGUUUUUUUUUUUGUCAAAAACGAUGACAAAAAUAUGUUAAACCGGGAGCCGGUUAAAAAAAACUAAACGUAUUGGAUGAAAACGUAAUCCGCAAAAAUAUUUCUUGUCUUCCAAAUUAAACGAGUGAUACAACAAAUCAUCGGUUCAGAGGAGGAAACUCAAAAUUGGACUAAAAAUGAAAGGCCGGCGGUAUUAUGGAAUGGAACAUUAUAUGUACUCUUAAUAUUGUAUACCUAUUAAAAAAGAUGACUGGUAA